GUCACAGACGAGAGGAGGAGAGGAGAGAGGAGAGGAGGGGGCAGGAACAGCACAGGUCAUAUCGGAGAGGGCAGGAACAGCACAGGUCACAGAGGAGAGGAGAGGAGAGAGGAGGGGAGGAGAGGGCAGGAACAGCACAGGUCACAGAGGAGAGGAGAGGGGAGGAGAGGAGAGGGCAGGAACAGCACAGGUCACAGAGGAGAGUAAAGUAGAAGAGAGAGGAGAGAGGAGAGGGCAGGAACAGCACAGGUCACAGAGGAGAGGAGAGGGGAGGAGAGGAAAGGGCAGGAACAGCACAGGUCACAGAGGAAAGUAGAGUAGAAGAGAGAGGAGAGGGCCGGAACAGCACAGGUCAUAUCGGAGAGGGCAGGAACAGCACAGGUCACAGAGGAGAGGAGAGAGGAGGGGAGGAGAGCGCAGGAACAGCACAGGUCACAGAGGAGAGUAGAGUAGAGGAGAGGGCAGGAACAGCACAGG
rnacentral:lncRNA from 1 species